rnacentral:rRNA from 1 species
GGCGUCCGGUCGGGUUUGCGGAGGAACGGCUUGAAACUUUGGGAUAUUCAUUUUAGAAUGACUCGUUUUAUCGUCGCAAGAUGCGGUUUAUUGUUUGCAACCCUUAAAGGAAAAACCAUGAAGAAAAUGUUCGUGCUGUUCUGUAUGCUGUUCUCCUGCGCCUUCUCCCUUGCGGCGGUAAACAUCAAUGCGGCUUCGCAGCAGGAGUUGGAGGCGCUGCCGGGCAUAGGCCCUGCGAAGGCGAAGGCCAUUGCGGAAUACCGUGCGCAAAACGGUGCGUUCAAGUCUGUGGACGAUUUGACCAAGGUAAAGGGCAUCGGCCCUGCGGUGCUGGCG